UGACGCGAGAGGGAUAUAGUGUUUUUAAACAAUUUAAACAAAUAGAUCACAGCCUUUAUUCAUUCUAAAUUAUCCAGGACGUUAGACUUUCAUUAUAAGAAAUCUUGAUACAUUAAUGAUAAACCUUUAUUGAUUUUUUUACGACAAUGUUCACAUUUCACUUUCCUGAUAUAUAUAAAGAGUAUCGUCAAUUUGCAAUUAAAGUCCAGGCAAUAUUUCAUUCACUUUGUUCCUUUGUAGUUUUUAUAUAUUUUCGUCACACUUUUCCUCACGACUCUACAGAUUCAAUAUUUAUGGAGGCCGAAUAAAGCGCACACGUGAUUUUAUAGACUGUUGUUUCCUGUUCAUGUUAAACUU
rnacentral:lncRNA from 1 species